rnacentral:tRNA from 1 species
GUCCCCGUAGCUUACCAACAAAGCAUAGCACUGAAGAUGCUAAGACGGCCUAAACAACCAAUGCCCGGAGACA